rnacentral:tRNA from 1 species
UCCCUGGCAGUUCAGUGGUUAAGAAUCCUUGCUUCCAUUACAGGAGGCACGGGUUCGAUCCCUGGCCAGGGAA